CCCCCACUCCAGCCCUCCAGGAGAGGGGCGUUUGCCCUGCAGAGGCCCCGACCGGUGUUCCGGUCGCUGUUGGGGACUCGAGGAGGUCAUUUGGCUUCUCACGAGCCUCGUAUCUAACGGAAAAGGAGUAAAUUGGAAUAGAUUGGAUCGAUUUACGCUGUACCAAGAGAGUUCUGGGGAUCCCUCCACGCAAUAAGACAUGAGUUAGAAGCAGAGACAGAGAUGGAGAAAGAAUCCCAAGCAGGCACCACAACCAGAACAGAGCCUGAUGCAGGGCUCAAUCUCACAAACAGUGACCUGAGCUGAAAUCGAGAGAUGCCUAACUGACUGAGCCCCCCUGGCGCCCCCAACUGUUGUGAUUUUCUUAUUCAGCUGUGGUUCCACCGCACCUCAGACUAGUUUCACCAGUCCAAGGGGGUAAAAAUUUCUAUUUUGAGAUACCUAUCCAAUUUUCAAUUUCCUAAAUGCUUUUUUUUUUUUUUAAUGAAAUGAAUAAGGAUGAAUGGACAAGCACAGAGUACUGUUAGGGCAGUAAAACUAUUCUGUGAGA